rnacentral:rRNA from 1 species
UACAGAGGAUGCAAGCGUUAUCCGGAAUGAUUGGGCGUAAAGCGUCCGCAGGUGGCAGUUCAAGUCUGCUGCCAAAGACCGGGGCUUAACUUCGGAAAGGCAGUGGAAACUGAACAGCUAGAGUAUGGUAGGGGCAGAGGGAAUUCCUGGUGUAGCGGUGAAAUGCGUAGAGAUCAGGAAGAACAUCGGUGGCGAAGGCGCUCUGCUGGACCAUAACUGACACUCAGGGACGAAAGCUAGGGGAGCGAAUGGG